GCAAAAAGUUCUAAAAUAUCAAUGAUUAUCAUGAAAGCCAAAAAAAAAAAAGAUUGGAUGAAAGAUGAGCAACAUGCAAUUAAUGUUCUGAUUCUUUCAAGAUGUUGCCUAUAGGCAUAUUUAACCCAUGUCCCACAAUCAGUGUUUACAGGUAGGCCUAACUGGAAUCUGAGCCUGUGCAUUGAAUUACCCGAAAAGCAAACACAUGCAUUAUUGUCAACAUGCAGUAGCACUGAGCACUACAAAGAAGUUGCUUAUUUGGAUACAAAGACCAAUCCUAAGCCAGCUUUUGCUUCAGUUGGAAAUUGCCCGCUCAAAUUAACGCUUUCACAAACAAUGCAUCAUUUGGGUCAUCAUUUCGCUGUGUGAUACGAUCAGGGAAGCAAGUCUGAAGUUAUUCUACUGAAAGCCUGUAUCUUUUGCCUGUUUUCAAGAAUCAGUCGAACCAUAUCGAAAAAUUCAAAGAAUGGCAAGAAGAAGCAUACCAAUCAUCUGUGACUAUAGACGAUAGAGGUCAGGAAGAAAGAGAAGAAGCAAUGACGAAAGCAGUAGGCCCAUCCUUGGUAACAACAUGACUUCUUCAGGGAAAGUUUAAUGAUCUCUUUGUGUCACCAGAACUGAGAAUCCCGUACACAUCCAGACGGACACGGAACACAAUCCUCACCAUCACCACAUCACUCGACCUUCUGUCAGAGGACACGAUGUCGAUCUCUUCGUUUUAUAUCUUCUAUUUUCAAUAUCCCACUUGCCUAGUAAGACUCUCAUAUUUAUUCAAAAGAUCUUAUUAGAUAUUCAGGAUGGAGACAACAUUCCAUACACGGCCAUAUUUGAAUUUUAAAAAAUCAAACAUGCAGUGAGUUAAGAUAAUUAAGCUUCUUUAUCUAUCUGUGUUAAUUCUUUAUUGCUGAAAUCUAGUAUAAUCAACACUCCAGUGUCCUAAUAACUUUGGUUAAGGUUUGUUCCAUAACAAUAUCAGAAUUAUCUUAAAUCUGUAUAUUAUAAAAUGUUGGUUUUCACAAUUUCAAAUCUAAAUAGUGCUUUCUUAAUCAGAUGCCAAGUAUAUUAUUGGAUGUUCUGGGUAUACAUAUGACUAAGUUUGAAAAAGUUUCUUUUUGUAUAAUCAACAAAUGCAAAUGUUUGUGUUAUGACAUUACAGAGCAAAAUAUUUAGUUCUUUCAUAAUGCAUUAGGAUUUAUUUGGACAGAAACAGUUCGUACAUACAAAAUUCUCUAAUUUGUAUUAUCUACAUAUCACCCUUUUCACAAAGGAAUUUAUCUGACUAUUUGUAUUAUGGAUUUUUUCAUCAUUCUGUCACUCGAGUACAAACCAAAAUUUUUCCCUAUAUACCUUGAAUUUGUAUCAAAAUUAUUGUUUUGAUAUUUUCAUGAGGAUCAUAAUAACAUAUACUGAUACUGCAAUGUACAAAACUCUACAUCGAACAAAAGUAAGCCAAAUAUACUUCCAGAAAUAAUGAAGUUGUCAAAUGUAUAUUUUUAUAUUUGAAGUCCUUCAAUUGAAUAUCAACCUACAUUCACCUAUUGCCAUAUUGUUUUCAACAAAAUAUACAUGUAUUCCCUGUAUCGAGAAGGAAAUCUAAUUAAUGAUUAUAAUUACAAUUUUGAUAAUUUUCUUUGAUUUUUUAUGCGAAUUCAUUUUGAUUUACUUUUUUCUGCCAUGAUUGUAUUUAGUGUAUAUAAAUAUGCAAUAUUUUUAACGCUUUUCUAAUGUUUUCAAGUUCAGGCCUGUCUCGAGUGGGGUUUCCUCUGGAAUGUACAUGCAAACUAUGCUAAGUGUAUUGAUUUUGAAUAUUUAGUAUAUAAUGCUUUAUUCGUUUCUUUCCUCUGUUACUUGUUUUACCGGUUUUUUUUAAUCUACGAUUUAUUCUAAAAUAUGUACAUUUUCUAUUACUUUCUUUUGUAAUAUAUUUUGAAAAGAUUUUUUUAUCUCAUUACAUAAAUUGAAAGAAAGAAUUUGAAUAUGAUGGUUUACAUAACCUUGUUAAAAGAAAAACAAAUCGUCAAAUAAUCGUAGUAUGAAGUGCGCAUUAAACUGCACUUCCUAAAUAAUGUUAUGUUUAAAUCUAGAAGGAACAUCUUCAUUUGGAAAAGUAAAUAGGUUAUAGAUUUUGCAUAUAUGUUUGGAAGUUUAAUUUCAUUAGCAGUCAGAUGAAAUAAGGUUGAUAUUAUUUUCUUGUGAACAAAUAACAAAUUCAAAACAUUUUAUUGUAAAGAAUGCAUUUAUUAAUGAAUACUGUCAAGGAGGUAUUUUUUCUAUUUUAAUAGUGAGGAAUAAUUUGUCUAAAAUUUGGUAUAUGCUCUAGCCCAUCUGGAUGCCAUUACUUUGAUGAUGUGAUAUUACUUUUCAUGUCUUGGAAAUAUAUGAUAUUUGGAUAAUAAAACUGUAUUG